rnacentral:rRNA from 2 species
CCGGCGGUGUGGCCUAAUACAUGCAAGUCGAGCGCACUGGCCCAACUGAUAUGACGUGCUUGCAUCUGAAUUGACGUUGGAUUCCCAGUGAGCGGCGGACGGGUGAGUAACACGUGGGCAACCUGCCCUGAAGCGGGGGAUAACAUCUGGAAACAGGUGCUAAUACCGCAUAACAACGAAAACCGCAUGGUUUUCGUUUCAAAGAUGGCUUCGGCUAUCACUUCAGGAUGGGCCCGCGGUGCAUUAGCUAGUUGGUAAGGUAACGGCUUACCAAGGCGAUGAUGCAUAGCCGAGUUGAGAGACUGAUCGGCCACAAUGGAACUGAGACACGGUCCAUACUCCUACGGGAGGCAGCAGUAGGGAAUCUUCCACAAUGGGCGCAAGCCUGAUGGAGCAACACCGCGUGAGUGAAGAAGGGUUUCGGCUCGUAAAGCUCUGUUGUUGGAGAAGAACGUACGUGAGAGUA